rnacentral:rRNA from 1 species
AUUGAACGCUGGCGGCAGGCCUAACACAUGCAAGUCGAACGAGUGGCGGACGGGUGAGUAAUGUAUGGGAAUCUGCCCGAUGGAGGGGGAUAACUACUGGAAACGGUAGCUAAUACCGCAUACUAUCGGAUGUACCCAUAUGGGAUUAGAUAGUAGGUGGGGUAACGGCUCACCUAGGCGACGAUAUCUAGCUGGUCUGAGAGGAUGACCAGCCAAACUGUAACUGAGACACGGCCCAGACGCCUACGGGAGGCAGCAGUGGGGAAUAUUGCACAAUGGGCGCAAGCCUGAUGCAGCCAUGCCGCGUGGAUGAAGAAGGCCUUAGGGUUGUAAAGUACUUUCAGCGGGGAGGCGUUACUCGCAGAAGAAGCACCGGCUAACUCCGUGCCAGCAGCCGCGGUAAUAC